rnacentral:rRNA from 1 species
UAGGGAAUCUUCCGCAAUGGGCGAAAGCUUGACGGAGCAACGCCGCGUGAGUGAUGAAGGUCUUCGGAUCGUAAAACUCUGUUAUUAGGGAAGAACAAAUGUGUAAGUAACUAUGCACGUCUUGACGGUAUCUAACCAGAAAGCCACGGCUAACUACGUGCCAGCAGCCGCGGUAAUACGUAGGUGGCAAGCGUUGUCCGGAUUUAUUGGGCGUAAAGCGAGCGCAGGCGGUCAAUUAAGUCUGAUGUGAAAGCCCCCGGCUCAACCGGGGAGGGUCAUUGGAAACUGGUUGACUUGAGUGCAGAAGAGGAGAGUGGAAUUCCAUGUGUAGCGGUGAAAUGCGUAGAUAUAUGGAGGAACACCAGUGGCGAAGGCGACUCUCUGGUCUGUAACUGACGCUGAGGCUCGAAAGCGUGGGUAGCAAACAGG